rnacentral:rRNA from 1 species
UUGGAGGGCAAGUCUGGUGCCAGCAGCCGCGGUAAUUCCAGCUCCGAUAGCGUAUAUUAAGGUUGUUGCAGUUAAAAAGCUCAUAGUUGAAUUUCGGGAUCAAUAUGUCGGUCGUGCCUCGGUACGUACUGGCAUCAUUGGUUUCUCCCUUCUGAUGAACCAUGAUGCCAUUAAUUUGGUGUCGUGGGGAAUCAGGACUGUUACUUUGAAAAAAUUAGAGUGUUUAAAGCAGGCUAACGCUUGAAUACAUUAGCAUGGAAUAAUGAAAUAGGACGUCGAUCUUAUUUUGUUGGUUUCUAGGGUUGACGUAAUGAUUAAUAGGGAUAGUUGGGGGCAUUAGUAUUCAAUUGUCAGAGGUGAAAUUCUUGGAUUUAUUGAAGACUAACUGCUGCGAAAGCAUUUGCCAAGGAUGUUUUCAUUAAUCAAGAACGAAAGUUAGGGGAUCGAAGACGAUCAGAUACCGUCGUAGUCUUAACCAUAAACUACGCCGACUAGGGAUCGGAUGAUGUUGAUUUUUUAAUGACUCAUUCGGCGCCUUACGGGAAAC